rnacentral:ncRNA from 1 species
ACCCUUGAGUGGAUGCGCUCCAUUCGGGAACUUCCGGGAUGGGUUGAAGCCGACACCCUGGCCUACAAGUCCUCCUGGGAAAGCUGGACGGCGGACUCAGGGGGCACCUUCGCCAGGUAGGCACACUUGGGAAGGUAAGCAUCUGGCCUGGAUGACCCUUUACGGGCUGUCGGCCAGAGGCAUAAAUGAGAGGUUUCUCUGCCUAACAUCUCAGAGUGACUAUCAGCUUGGGGGUAUGGGCAUCCACUCGACCCCACGGGCCAGCUAACCGCAGGAGGGGAUUAAUACUAAGGAUAGGAUAUCUCGUAGCAAAUGCUUCCUAUUGGCUGAAAGGAUGCGGGGCAAUAACUGGGUAAAAAGUAAGACGAGGGCCAAGAAUAAUGGGACACCUAAAAUGGGGGAGGGAUAGAUGGCGAGGCUAAGGCUAGCCCCUCAAUGAUGAAAAGCUGGCCUCCUGCCGGUGCACUCGGCUCGCACGAGACUUGUCCAGGUUCUUUCUAUCAGUGGAGGACUUGUCUCGAGGAUUGUGCGGCUCCCGCCAGUCAUGGUGGUGGAGAGGAGUCCCAGGCCCUGAGCGGAAAAAAAAAAAAAUAGCCAAAUGCCUCGUCAUCUAAUUAGUGACGCGCAUGAAUGGAUUUUUGUUGGAAUUGGGUUAAGCCUGCGGUGCGAAAGCGGGAGCGGGCAGGGGACAAGUUUUUCUUAAAUUUUUUACAAGAGCCCCGACUCAAAAUCUGUCCCUAUCUACUAUCUAGCGAAACCACAGCCAAGGGAACGGGCUUGGAAAAAUCAGCGGGGAAAGAAGACCCUGUUGAGCUUGACUCUAGUCUGACUCUGUGAAGAGACAUCUGAGGUGUAGCAUAGUGGGAGGCCGUGACCCUCGCGGUGUGUCGUGCGUCAGUGAAUACACUACUU